GUCGUACUCAUCUCUGCAUUGCUCACAUUAUCUGGAGAACUCUCUGCAGGAAAAUGCUCAAAGGACACCACCUCUGCCACUUCAUGCUGUAAUUUCUGUGUGUUGUCCUUCUGAAAUUCAAAAUCCACGUUGAUGGUCCUGAAAGCUGAGAAAUUGGCAGGCAUCUCAUCAUUAAUGUGGAGGAGCGCAUAAAAGACAAAAACUACAUUACUGCAAGCAACUAACUUGCUGUUCACUUACCUUAUGGAGAGGGCUUUAGCCUUUAAUGCGAAAGGCGGAAAUUGAUUGUGAUCAUGGCCUUCCUUAUGCUGCAGAUAUAUAGAUAUGUAAUUUUUUUUUUCCUUUUGGGUUUCCAUGACUUGUUCAAGAACUUUGAUCAAUGACAUAAUAAGCGACUGAA